GUUGCUAAUAGCGAGUCACAGACAGACAGUCUAAAGUGCUUCAUUUCGGGCUGGUGAAGAACUUGUUGAUUCCUGGCAUGAUCUCGGGGGUCUUGUCCUGCACGUAGGCUCUGAGGCCGUGCUCGGCGUAGCGCCUGCCCUCCUCAUGGUUCUCAAGCACUCCUGCUGCCCUCCCCAUCUUGCUGACCCUGCAGAUGAAAUCAUUUCAGCACAUCGUUACUAAGAAUUACAGGUUGUUUCAGGCUCUUGUCUAACAAGAUUAAGAUGAGCUGCCACGAAUUUAUUAAAAUAAUGAUCAAUACAGAUAACGUUUAUUAAGAUCGUCUCCCGAUCAUGCAAGCGCACUAAAUAAUUGCUAGGACAAAAAGUAGAUCGUGUAGU
rnacentral:lncRNA from 1 species